rnacentral:lncRNA from 1 species
AUAUAAUGACUUCUGAAAUAUUUUAAUUUAUUUUUUAUGUUGGUAGAAAAAUAGAUGAUUAAAUUAUGGUAAAGAGAUUAAAUGUAAAUUUUGGGAGUAAAAUAUGAGAAAAGGAUAAGUUUAGAAAAUUCCAAAGAGGCCAACCUUGUCCUAUCUAGCACAUAUUCGCGCGAUGCGUGCCAAAAAUAAAAACCCAUGUAACAUGUAGUAGGCCAAAUUUUCCCGGGCCCACUAGAAACCCAAAUAUAUAAUAAAUAAAUAAAUAAAUAAAUUUGUAUAUUAAAAACCCAACAAAUAUUAUAACAGUCCAUUAAUGUCCUAUCAAGCCCAAAGACCCAAAACAGUCCCUCUAGCCCAAAUCUAGUGGCCCAAUACUUAAAAUGAACCUAAGUGGCCCAAAAGACUUCAGCAACCUUAGGUCAUCCCUCUCUCAUUUGCGCCGCAACCCUCUGCAGCCUCCAGGCACCGUACGUCGCCUCCAGCAACCACGCCAAGCCUCCGUACGCCAGCAUGGCUCCCGUACACACGCCAGCACGCACCCAUACCUACAAGAAGACAAACAAACACAACAACAAAUGAAAAUAAAAGAAAAUAUUGUAUUUUUUAUCGAUUUGAUUUUCCUUUUUUUUCUUCUUCGGCUAUAAAGCCGAAAGUUCCAUCCUUGUAAUCGUUUACACAUGCAAAAAGGCAAUACAAGAAAAGAAAAGACCACCUAUAUUCGAAGGUGAUUUUUCGAUUUAUAUUUGCGGGCGUUCCUCUUUUUUUCUUUCGAUUGUUCUUUGUUUUGUGUUUUUUUUCUCGAAAGUAAAUAAAGCGAAGAGGAGGGGACUUACCUUCGCGUAUGAGCCAUCGGAGACCACAUCUCCUUCGCUAAAAAUCGAAAUCGGAGAAGGGAUUUCAGGGGCCGAAAUCGAUAGCCUUUAGGCCAAGGUUCCAAGCGAGAGGCGCACAUGCGGUUCUCCCCUGUUCGCAGUGGUGGCGGUUGGACGGCACGGAUCCUUGGAUUCGGCCGAGUGGAGAAGGGGGCGUAUGGCUUCCUUUUGCUUUUGGUUCUAAAAGAACCAAGAAUCUUAGUCUUAGGGUUUUCUUUUUAGUUUUAAGGACAGACACAAAACGGUACUAUUUAGAGU